GACGAACGCUGGCGGCGUGCUUAACACAUGCAAGUCGAACGGUAAGGCCCUUCGGGGUACACGAGUGGCGGACGGGUGAGUAACACGUGGGUGAUCUGCCCUGCACUUCGGGAUAAGCCUGGGAAACUGGGUCUAAUACCGGAUAGGACUCCGGACUGCAUGGUCUGGGGUGGAAAGCUGUUGCGGUGUGGGAUGGGCCCGCGGCCUAUCAGCUUGUUGGUGGGGUGAUGGCCUACCAAGGCGACGACGGGUAGCCGGCCUGAGAGGGUGACCGGCCACACUGGGACUGAGAUACGGCCCAGACUCCUACGGGAGGCAGCAGUGGGGAAUAUUGCACAAUGGGCGCAAGCCUGAUGCAGCGACGCCGCGUGAGGGAUGACGGCCUUCGGGUUGUAAACCUCUUUCAGCAUCGACGAAGCGAAAGUGACGGUAGGUGCAGAAGAAGGACCGGCCAACUACGUGCCAGCCGCCGCAGUAA
rnacentral:rRNA from 1 species